rnacentral:rRNA from 1 species
CUAAGGCCGAUGGCGACCGGCGCACGGGUGAGUAACACGUAUCCAACCUGCCGAUAACUCGGGGAUAGCCUUUCGAAAGAAAGAUUAAUACCCGAUGGUAUAAUAAAGCCGCAUGGUUUAAUUAUUAAAGAAUUUCGGUUAUCGAUGGGGAUGCGUUCCAUUAGGCAGUUGGUGAGGUAACGGCUCACCAAACCUUCGAUGGAUAGGGGUUCUGAGAGGAAGGUCCCCCACAUUGGAACUGAGACACGGUCCAA